AUGAACGACGAGCUCUCCGCUUCUCGGAGGUACUGCACCGUGCCGCUCAUCGUCUUCACCAGCUUCUGGCUUAUGUGCAGGCCGAGGCCUUCUCGGGAUACCCCUGGGCCGUGCCGGAACAUCUCCUGUAUCAGUGCCUCCGGGACGCCUGGUGCUGGGUGGACAAGUCUGCAUGGAUUCAUGGGUUAA
rnacentral:rRNA from 1 species